rfam:Hordeum vulgare subsp. vulgare, WGS project CAJW01000000 data, contig: morex_contig_236807
GGUUCUAUGGACAACCAUCAAUACAUGGGAGCGAUACAAAGAAGAUUAACAUGGCCCCUGUACAAGGAUGACACGCACAAAUCGAGAUAAAAAAUACAUGAUC